UAACACAUUUCAUGUCUUUCCCUAAUAGAAUUUCCUAACUAGAGCCCUCCAAAAUCUCCCUCCUCCGUGUUUUCCCCCCAUUCCUUGUCCUUAAUCGUUUUCCGUCUUUAACAUUCUUCAUUCAUGGGAAAGAAGGUGUGUUAUCAGCUUGCAAAGAAUCCAGUAAUGGUGUUUGGAAUUCAAGAGUUUUUUUGUUAGACGUAACCACGAUGCUCAUUAUGUCCUACUGUAUCGAGUCUGCGCUCCAGUGGAUGAAUCGAAUUGAGGUCCCCCCCCCCUUUCGUUGUCUUUAUUUGUAAUCUGAAAUAGCUCAAGGCUAGUAGGCUUUCACAUAGCUAGAUCGUCGCUUUGAAGACAUGACUUCAAUCUGUAAAUAUUGUAGCUAUGUGUUUAUGGUUUUUCUUGCACUAGAUUAGCAUGUUGGGUAUUCGUAUUUAUGGAAUUUGUUGCUUAUCCAUAUUAA